rnacentral:lncRNA from 1 species
UAUUUUGACUAAGAGUGAAAUUCUCGGUUCAGAGGUUGAGAGCUUGUAUUAGCGAAUGAAGAAUUGUUCGUGCGUGUUGUUGUAUAUUGCAAUUCGCUUCUUCUAGUAUAUAUUACUGGAAAAGAGUCGUUGCAAAAAUGACCGUUGAUGAAGAUAACCUUUUGUCUUCAUGCAUCUGUCUUGAUGCAGUUUGGAUGUUACUAAAACUGAGUAAGAGUUUCAGUAACUUUGACCAGGUGCAGAGAAGAUUUUCCUUAUUAAGCUAAGAAACCAGACAAGUCACGUUCUCACUUAAGGACAGGCAAAAUGUAAGUAGUUGUUCUGAUCAAGGUUGAAAGGUCAUUUUCUUCAUUGAUAAAAGAGUUGACCUUCAAAUUCGAAUCUUCACACAACCCAAGAUAACAUCAGAGUUUGAAUAACCUCUGAGUUAACAAGUCCUGAGGUCUUCAUCCUCUGAUACAUAUAACUUCUGAAGAUCCUUAUCCUCUGAAUCGUUGAGAAGCUCUGAGAACUAACUUCUGAGCUUUCUUCAGAGCUUGCCUGUAUAUAAGUUCUGCACACUUAAAUAAAUUUUUAGUAUCUCCAAUUACAUUUAAUACUUUGUUAUCAUCAAAACCUUAAUGGUUUUAGGGGCAACAAUUUUUAAAUCAAUUUUGUUCCAACAGUAGUGUGCUUCAUAACACCAUAAUCAAACAACACCAUAAUCCAAACCGAAUUUUCAAAUGAUAUUUGAGAGAGAAGUUUCAGAGAAUCUUGGAUUUGAAGUUUGAAAGGAAUGAGUAUGGGGAAGAGGAGAGAGAAGUUUGAGAGAAUCUAUGUACUUUACAGCUGCUAUUGUUUUUGAAAUUUCUAGAGGGAUUUAGAAAUUUGAAUUUGUCCAUGC